GUGCUCACAUUGGCAGCACAUAUAUUAAAAUUGAAAUGAUAUUGAGAUUAGUGUGGCACCUGUACAAACAUCACCCCAAAUUUGUGAAGCAUUUCAUAUUUAA
ensembl:snRNA U6 U6 spliceosomal RNA